AUCACGGGGGGGGAUUUUCUCAUAAGAAGGGUGCGUCCUCCUUAAAGAACAAUUUAAAAGUUUAAAAUUUGUCACAAUUUGAGUUUCUUACCCACGUCUGGGUCAACUUGUGCGCUAUAAGACGUAACAAGUACGAGACUUGCCACAGCAAUCGUUAUGAAAUUGUAAGAAAAUUUCAUUUCAAUUACGAUUUUAAAAUUAUUUGUACUUGUGUCUCGGUUUCUAGUCAGAAUCAAUAUUGGUAAUUCGGAUGGAAAGGCAAAUAAGUUUAUAUGUGAUUUCCUUAUCUUGACCUGACAUUAUUAUGUAGGAAAUGUCUAAAUUUGCGCUUUUGAUGGUACAAUCUGAACAUUUAUCUAUGGGAUGUCAAGUCACGUAGACCAUGAAUAAUUGUACCACAAAUAGAUACAGAUUAAUUGUCAAAGUGUUGAAAUCUACGAGUUAUGAAGUAAAGCAUCAUCACUUGAGUCUUUGGGUUCAAUUUAGUCCGUGAGAAUUGAAUGAUGAUGACGCUUUGGAAUUGGAACUCGCAUCGAUCUAUCGACCUCGGAUCAUUCGAUAGGAGAGAGAUAUAGAAUUAAGUUCAGUGAAUUUUGUAUCUCAUCCUAGAUCAGAAUGACGCUUACUUGAUCCAGUGAUUGUUGAACUUGUGGGACGCCACCAGACAUACAGAUUUAGCCACAGCUGCUGCCUAUUUACAAAACCCAGGGUAUGAAAAUUUAUAGUGAACGCAGUAAUAUACCUGUCAAUUGCUUCAUUUUAAAACUCUAAUUACCGUUGCCCUCAAAUACAUACAUAUGUUUACGAUCUAGACAAAAUAUUGUCUGUUUAUAUAUACAUAUUAUUAUGGAUGUUCAUAAAGGACAUUUAACCACAAAUUCCCAAUUUCCGAUUUAUGGAUAAUAGGUUAACAAGUACGUAUGUACACCAUACACUCCUUGAAUAUUGUUUAAAUUCAUUAGAUAUGUGCAUAUCAUUGUUAUAUAGUACAUGAAAGCGUUAUCUACUUUUACUCAUUUUACUUCAUGCAUGCAAACUGAAUAUAUGCUUAUAAAUACUUCGUAACUUAACGCCAUUGGUGAUUAUCUCCUAAUCUAAUUAUUUCUAUUAAAUUGGGAGAUAUAUGUAUGUAAAUAUGCAGCUUCAAAACCUGUCACGUUUGGUUAAUGUUUAAGAGCUUCGUUGUGCUGGCAUCGUCCAAUUCUGUUUAUCAUUUUCCGUUUUGUCGUGGAAAACCCUGCAGCCUUAAUAACAUUUCGACAUGGUUAGUACAUUAAUGAUUACACCGUACGAUCUGCAUACACUUAUUCUAAUCUUAUCUACCUCAUCAUGUAAAGUUUCUUAUUGCAAAUCUCGUGGUGUGAGUGGAAAAUCCGUACAUUUCGGGCAAUACAACAUUCAAACAAAUAUAUAAGACUGGUACGUUGAUAAACGAAACGACGUAUCACACAUAAAUACCCUUCACUUCACUCGAAAUUGUCAUUCGUACUAUGCUUGUGGAACAUUUUGAAAAAAUCGUCCAACUUAAUUUGCCAGAUACCAUGUCCUUCAAAAUAGUCGCUUUUCUCCUGUCAACGAUCGCCAUUGCAAUCAGCACAAUAUGACGAAGUUUGCAGCAGCGCCGAUCAAUGCGAAAAAUACACAAACACUUACGACCAAAGCGUAAUUUGCAUGCUCAGAAUCCUUGGUAAAGACAAUGAAACCGAACAAAUUAAUGCUGGGCUUUGCUCGGUAGUCAGCGUACCGACGGGUCGCUGUCAAUGCGCCAGAAAUUGUGGACCUGUAAAUGGAUAUUUCGAUUAUGGUGAAUUUGACGUGGCUGAACAACGCUGUCGUGGCUUCGCAGGGUCCCCUUGUUACGAUAGGUGGGCCCUUAACGAUUGCGUAGAAAAUGCGUAUUGUCCACAGAAUGUGCGAAAGUGCACUUGUAAUUUGGGAUACGUCGAGUCGGAGGAUGGCAAAUACUAUGUCCCAUCGAAUUAAGCAUUGGAAUGAAUACCGAUAUGUAUGUUUUUAAGCGAUUUAUGGAAAAAUAAAUAUAAUGCAUUGUACGUUUUGA